GUGCUUAACACAUGCAAGUCGAACGGAAAGGCCCUGCUUUUGUGGGGUGCUCGAGUGGCGAACGGGUGAGUAACACGUGAGUAACCUGCCCUUGACUUUGGGAUAACUUCAGGAAACUGGGGCUAAUACCGGAUAGGAGCUCCUGCUGCAUGGUGGGGGUUGGAAAGUUUCGGCGGUUGGGGAUGGACUCGCGGCUUAUCAGCUUGUUGGUGGGGUAGUGGCUUACCAAGGCUUUGACGGGUAGCCGGCCUGAGAGGGUGACCGGCCACAUUGGGACUGAGAUACGGCCCAGACUCCUACGGGAGGCAGCAGUGGGGAAUAUUGCACAAUGGGCGGAAGCCUGAUGCAGCAACGCCGCGUGCGGGAUGACGGCCUUCGGGUUGUAAACCGCUUUCGCCUGUGACGAAGCGUGAGUGACGGUAAUGGGUAAAGAAGCACCGGCUAACUACGUGCCAGCAGCCGCGGUGAUACGUAGGGUGCGAGCGUUGUCCGGAUUUAUUGGGCGUAAAGGGCUCGUAGGUGGUUGAUCGCGUCGGAAGUGUAAUCUUGGGGCUUAACCCUGAGCGUGCUUUCGAUACGGGUUGACUUGAGGAAGGUAGGGGAGAAUGGAAUUCCUGGUGGAGCGGUGGAAUGCGCAGAUAUCAGGAGGAACACCAGUGGCGAAGGCGGUUCUCUGGGCCUUUCCUGACGCUGAGGAGCGAAAGCGUGGGGAGCGAACAGGCUUAGAUACCCUGGUAGUCCACGCUGUAAACGGUGGGUACUAGGUGUGGGGUCCAUUCCACGGGUUCCGUGCCGUAGCUAACGCUUUAAGUACCCCGCCUGGGGAGUACGGCCGCAAGGCUAAAACUCAAAGGAAUUGACGGGGCCCCGCACAAGCGGCGGAGCAUGCGGAUUAAUUCGAUGCAACGCGUAGAACCUUACCUGGGUUUGACAUGGAUCGGGAGUGCUCAGAGAUGGGUGUGCCUCUUUUGGGGUCGGUUCACAGGUGGUGCAUGGCUGUCGUCAGCUCGUGUCGUGAGAUGUUGGGUUAAGUCCCGCAACGAGCGCAACCCUUGUUCACUGUUGCCAGCACGUUAUGGUGGGGACUCAGUGGAGACCGCCGGGGUCAACUCGGAGGAAGGUGGGGAUGACGUCAAGUCAUCAUGCCCCUUAUGUCCAGGGCUUCACGCAUGCUACAAUGGCUGGUACAGAGAGUGGCGAGCCUGUGAGGGUGAGCGAAUCUCGGAAAGCCGGUCUCAGUUCGGAUUGGGGUCUGCAACUCGACCUCAUGAAGUCGGAGUCGCUAGUAAUCGCAGAUCAGCAACGCUGCGGUGAAUACGUUCCCGGGGCUUGUACACACCGCCCGUCAAGUCAUGAAAGUUGGUAACACCCGAAGCCGGUGGCCUAACCGAAGUGGGGGAGCCGUCGAAGGUGGGACUGGUGAUUAGGACUAA
rnacentral:rRNA from 1 species